rnacentral:tRNA from 1 species
GCCGAAUUUGCCGACGACCGAUGUCGUUCGUAAUGACGGGGUCGGGGGUUCGAAUCCCUCUUGCGGCACCA